CGUUCCCGGGCCUUGUACACACCGCCCGUCACACCAUGGGAGUUGGUUUUACCCGAAGGUAGUGCGCUAACCGCAAGGAGGCGGCUAACCACGGUAGGGUCAGCGACUGGGGUG
rnacentral:rRNA from 1 species